rnacentral:rRNA from 1 species
UACGAAGGGGGCUAGCGUUGCUCGGAAUCACUGGGCGUAAAGGGUGCGUAGGCGGGUCUUUAAGUCAGGGGGGAAAUCCUGGAGCUCAACUCCAGAACUGCCUUUGAUACUGAGGAUCUUGAGUUCGGGAGAGGUGAGUGGAACUGCGAGUGUAGAGGUGAAAUUCGUAGAUAUUCGCAAGAACACCAGUGGCGAAGGCGGCUCACUGGCCCGCUACUGACGCUGAGGCACGAAAGCGUGGGGAGCAAACAGG